rnacentral:rRNA from 1 species
UACGAAGGGGGCUAGCGUUGUUCGGAAUUACUGGGCGUAAGGCGCGUGUAGGCGGGUCCUUAAGUCAGGGGUGAAAUGCCGAGGCUCAACCUCGGAACUGCCUUUGAUACUGGGGAUCUUGAGUCCGGGAGAGGUGAGUGGAACUGCGAGUGUAGAGGUGAAAUUCGUAGAUAUUCGCAAGAACACCAGUGGCGAAGGCGGCUCACUGGCCCGGAACUGACGCUGAGACGCGAAAGCGUGGGGAGCAAACAGG